UAAAGGAAUUUAAUUGAACAAUGAACAAUUCGUGAAUCGGGCAGCCCCCAGAAUCACGGCAGAUUCACAGAGACUCCAGCACAGUCACAUGGUAGAAGAAGAUUUAUAGGCCAAAAAAAAAAAAAAAAAAAAAGAGGAAAUGAUGUCCAGAAAUCGGAAGUGAGGUACAGAACAGCUGGAUUGGUUACAGUGGAUGGGAGUUCUGAAGACUCUGUAAUCAGGCUUUCCGGCAAACAGGCAAUCGAUGAUUUACAGCCUACAU